rnacentral:rRNA from 1 species
GAUGCUAGCUGUGGGGGGUAUCGACCCCUUCCGUAGCGAAGCUAACGCGUUAAGCAUCCCGCCUGUGGAGUACGGCCGCAAGGCUAAAACAUAAAGGAAUUGACGGGGACCCGCACAAGCGGUGGAUCGUGUUCUUUAAUUCGAUGAUAAACGAAGAACCUUACCAGGGCUUGACAUCCCGAGAAGGCUUCCGAAAGGAAACUGUGCCGCAAGGAACUCGGUGACAGGUGAUGCAUGGCCGUCGUCAGCUCGUGUCGUGAGAUGUUUGGUUAAGUCCAUCAACGAGCGCAACCCUUGUGAAUAGUUGAAUUUUUCUACUCAGACUGCCCCGGCAACGGGGAGGAAGGAGGGGAUGAUGUCAGGUCAGUAUUUCCCUUACGUCCUGGGCUAGAAACACGAUACAAUGGCUAGUACAAUGCGCAGCAAAGCCGCGAGGUGGAGCAAAUCGCAUCAAAGCUAGUCUCAGUUCGGAUAAGAGGCUGAAACUCGCCUCUUUGAAGUCGGAAUCGCUAGUAA